AUGGGGAAAUCUGAAGACAAAAUGGUACUCAUAUUAGAAGACAGCAGAACUCACCAGUAAAAUUAAUACUUUCACCAAUCCUUCAAAUAAUGUGUAUUAAAAAUAGAUAAUUUUAUAAUUUUCCAGUUCAAAGACAGAUAAAAGGCUCCAUGGCGUUAAAAUCGUGAACUGAUCAUGGGAUUACGCAAUUCAACAAUCUUCAGUACCCUACAUGAGCUGUUUUGCAUGCAGCAUCUGAAAUUGGUGAAAUUGACAAGCUGGUUUAUGGGAUUGGUCCAUUCAUUAGUUAGUAUGGUUGCCCAUUUCACAAAAAGAACUUUAGCGUAAUUGAGGUUAAGAAGAUAGUUCAGAUAUAAUUCACAGAGCAAACACUUUGACAUAAACUAUGUUACAGUCUAACCUCAAUUUAAGACUAAAAGUCCACCCAUGUUAUCAUGGUGCACCCAACUUUCUUCCAUUCAAAAGCCUUAACAUGUUGUAGACUAUUUUAUUAACUCUCAAUCACAUUAUAAUCGAGGUGCGACUAUAUGAAUACAUUGUCUUACAAGGAUGUGGUUGAUCCGGAAAACAACAUAUGGUUGACAUAUAACUUUUGAAGGACCAACUCAGCUUGGAGGUCCUUUAGCAGGAAUGAUAGUUUACAAGAUUCCAACAAAUUGGUGAGAGCAUGGGAGUCUGAUGGAGGUGAACACGUAUUUUUAAAAAUGUCAAUUGGAAAUUAAGCUAGAAAUGUAUACUUGCAGUUCCUUAAAGUGUGAACAUAACUGAGAUUCGGUGUGUUAACAUUUUCAAGAGAGUGAAAAUUCUAAUCCGUUGUUAGUCUUUUUAAAAUUACAUGCUAGUCAACUACUUUUUCAUCUUAAAUCUUAAUUGUAUUUGCUUUUGUUUAGGACCACCCAAAAAGAAGAAAUUGAUCAAAGCAAUAAAGAGUGAAAGAUGUUGUAUCAAUUAUGCUUAAUCUAGAAUGGCCAAAAAAGCAAUCCAACAAUGACCAACUGCGGAAGAUGGUGGUGGAGACAACAAAGUUCGGAUGUGGACAACCUGGACGGGGAUGCUCCAAAUUGAAGAUAACAACAUGGUUCAAGACAACGAUGAACAUCAGUGAUGCUGCUAAUUGGAGAAUUUGGAUGAUGGACCAAGAAAAUAUCAAAUGGAGGGUCACUUUUUUCCUAUAACAACAUUUUAGAUAUGAUAAUUAUAUAUAUAUAUAUAUAUAUAUAUAUAUAUAUAUAUAUAUAUAUAUAUAUUUCAAUUUCUGCUCUUGAGUUUCAAAAACUUCAUACUGAGUUACUUGUUUAUGAGUUAUACCCUUAUAGAUUAUGAACUUUUUUAUGCAAGUAUUUUUCAAUGACUUCAAGUCUUUUUGUUUUCUUAUUAAUCGUAUAUAUGUCUGUUAGUGUAAGAAUAAUAGAUCGUGAAUUCGUAGGAUCUUAUGAACCAUGUUACAAUGACAUGAUUUAAAAUCUUCAGUCCCUUUCCCAAUUCUAACUUAGAUCUUCAUUCUAACUACCUUCAAAUAAAAAAAAAAAAAUAAAAAAAAAAAAUUGGCAGUGUGUUUGAGUGAGGAAUUUUGAGAAGAAAUCAACUUUUAAGUGAAUUUAACAUACCACAUAAAAUUAUUUGUUUUUGACAUCACAUACAAAGAAUUUUCAAAAUAAAAGGAACUUUCUGCGGGAAUUUUUUUCAAGUAAAAUGAAGGGGUUGCAACUUAUCUCUAAAGUGAAAAAAUUUGGAAAUUCAUUUUCACCAUGAACUCUCUCACCUAUGUAAGAAUCUAGAAAAUCGCUUAAGAGAAUAUAUGGUUUUAUAAAUGACACUCAAAUAUUUUAUUAUUAAAAAGUCAAUCUAUAAAUAGAAUUUCUAUUAAAAAAGUUUCAUUUUAUAAAAACCUUUGUCCCUCUAAAACUUUUUCUCUAAACAUCAUCGGUUAUCUCUCUAAGAUUUUGACUUCAUCCUUCAUCUCUUUGAAGAUCCGAGCCCACCUUAGGAUUCCUAGUUUAGAGACCAUCACAACCAACUGAUAAGAUUUGUGAUUAGAAUAAGUUCCUCUUUCUCUUGAGUCAGUAUUGAUCAUGGUUGCAUGUGGCCUUUAAGUGGAUGCAUGUAACCUUAGGUAGCUCAAAAUGAAUCACAACUCUUUUGUGGUUAUUUUGUGGUUAUGAGGGUAUGUUCGGAUCAUUGAUCUAGUUUUUCUUUGUGUAGUUAGAGCUACUUGUGCGAGUUGAGUUGAGUUGUGUGGACACAUGUGGGUGCGUAAAUUCUACUUUUGAAGUAAGGAAAGCUAGUAAAUUAUACAAAGCUAAUUGUGUUUGAAUGGUUAGGAUAAAGUAAUGGUUUGAUUGAUAGUAUAAUUGAUGAUUGUACUGUUGUAUUGAGAUAGUUAGAACUGCUGAAGGUGAAAUUAUUGUUUUGCAAAUUGUUUUUUACAGUAUAAAAUUGGUGUAUAAUCUGAAAUUGUGUGGGUUUGAUCUGCCAAUGGGACCAUGAGGGCAUAGUUUGAUAAAUGAGAUGUUAUGAGAUGAAAUGAUUGAUAAAUGAGUUGUUAUGAGAAUGAAUGAGGGCAUAGUGACUUCCAAGGAGGAAGUGUUAUCCUAAGUUUGAGUUUAGGGUGUAUUGAGUUGUGAUGAGAUUAUCCUAACUCUGUCAGCAUCCAACUCAAAUAGUUGUGAGAGUCGAUGGAGGUUUCUACCAUUUGGUGCUUCAAUAUGAAACAAGAUCAAACCCCCAUGUAUAAAGAAUUUACCAUGUUAUACUUGAGGAGGGCCAUUGGUUAAACUACUCCGUGGGAAUGUAAGAUAGUGACAAGUGCAAAAUUUCUGAGUUUACUCAAUACAUGUGUCUUCCAAAAAUAGAGUCAAAUGUCUAAGUAAUUAAAAGUCUUGUGGGCUAAACCGGUGGUAGUAUGCCAAUGAGGGCAGGUUUGAUAUAAACAUUUGAUUCUUGAUAAAUAUGAUGAAUGGUUGAAUUGAUGAGAAUUGAAUAUCUUAUUAGUUUAUUACAAUUGCACCAGUUACCUUGUUCUUUAUUAUUUGUGUUUUGUUCAUCUGCUAUGACGUUAUACGUGAGAAGAGAGUGCAGGUGGGAGUGGUUGACAGCAGUAAGACUAUUAAUGUGUUGUUUUGGCAAUAGUAUUUGCACCCUUUAUAUAAUUGUAUUUUGUACUUUACUCCUUUGUUAAAAGAGUAGUGAAUUUUGAAAGAUACUAUUUUUUUUUAUUUUGAAGGAUUGUAAAUACAAUGUAUAUAUUUAUGUGCUUGUUUAUGCUAAAUAUCAAAAGUGUAAUGCUCUAAUCAGUAGUAGUAAAUAUACUAAUAUAGGGUGUUACAACCUCAACUUUAGUGCGUCCCUAUC
rnacentral:lncRNA from 1 species